rnacentral:tRNA from 1 species
GGUUCCAUGGUGUAAUGGUUAGCAAUCUGUACUCGGAUCCAGCGAUCCGAGUUCAAAUCUCGGUGGAACCU